GGCAAUGAUGACACCUAAACUUGUCUUCAAGAGUGAUGAUGACAUAAAAAUCCUGCUCAAUAGAAUUAUGUUGAGGACC